rnacentral:lncRNA from 1 species
UUUUUCUUUUUCUUUUUUUCGGAGCUGGGGACCGAACCCAGGACCUUGCGCUUGCUAGGCAAGUGCUCUACCACUGAGCUAAAUCCCCAACCCCAAUGUUUUGUUUUUAAGGAAGAUACACCUGCCGAAUUAUGCCGACCCAUGCCUAUAAUUCCAGCAUUUGGAAGACCGAGGCAGGAGGAUUGUCUGAGUUGCCAGCUUGGCCAAAGAGUAAGACUCGGUCCAUCAAAAAGACGUAAGUCUCUCUUGGGAAAGGCUGAAGACAGUCAAGCUGUCUCUGCUGCCAGAACUGGAGGACCAUGGAUGACGUGGGACCCUGCACGACGAUCAUGCACCUCGGGUGCGCGUCAGUGAUCUCUUACCACGGUCUCUGUGGAAAUUCAGUAAAAAUACACGUGGUGCUUGGCGUUAGCCUGGAACACAGCAUUCCAGAUGCACGCCUGUCAGGUGUCCCCUCUCUUUCCAACCCUUUCCAGUCAAGGGAGCCUUCUUGAUUUCACAAAUUGAAACUGUU